rnacentral:rRNA from 1 species
GUGGGGAAUUUUGGACAAUGGGCGAAAGCCUGAUCCAGCCAUGCCGCGUGCAGGAUGAAGGCCUUCGGGUUGUAAACUGCUUUUGUACGGAACGAAAAGACUCUGGUUAAUACCUGGGGUCCAUGACGGUACCGUAAGAAUAAGCACCGGCUAACUACGUGCCAGCAGCCGCGGUAAUACGUAGGGUGCAAGCGUUAAUCGGAAUUACUGGGCGUAAAGCGUGCGCAGGCGGUUAUAUAUGACAGAUGUGAAAUCCCCGGGCUCAACCUGGGAACUGCAUUUGUGACGGUAAAGUAAGAGUACGGCAGAGGGGGAUGGAAUUCCGCGUGUAGCAGUGAAAUGCGUAGAUAUGCGGAGGAACACCGAUGGCGAAGGCAAUCCCCUGGGCCUGUACUGACGCUCAUGCACGAAAGCGUGGGGAGCAAACAGGAUUAGAAACCCGGGUAGUCC